rnacentral:lncRNA from 15 species
AUGAUAAUUUUCCUCCCUGCAGAGGAGUCGGUGAGCAGCCUGCCAGCCUGGGAUCUCCCCACUGUCCCGGAGUCUCUCCUGUCCACAGUGGGCGACCAUGACGUCACUCUUCCUGCCAACGUCACCAGCCCUUUCUCCACCCACCAAUGGAACACCACUGCACCUGCACGCACCAGAAACACCUCGCGACAGACGACCAUGUCAACCACCACCGUGACCACAUCUCUGUCACCCACCACCACCUCAACCAUACCGUUAUCCACCACGGCAAGAGCACAAACACCAUCAGGAUCCCCCACGGUCUCUCCCACCACUAGCCAGGACACUGUGACCAAGGACAGCCUUCAGCUGACGACAGUAACCAUGACGACGCCCUCAACUACCACUCCUACUGUGACCGCUGCUGAGAUGACGCAGACGGUGACCACUGGGAGCGGCGUAACAGUAGCACCAAAUACCAGUGCUGCGACAACCAUGCAGGAAACGACAAGCCUCAAACUGACCACAGCGGCUACAACUCAGCCUACAACCACCACUACAACCACACCUGCCCCUACUACCACCACUACUACUGUCCCCCCAACCACGACCACUACUACUACUCCUCCUCCAACCACUACUACAACUACUACACCUGCUACUACUACUACCACCACUACUACUACCACUACAACCACAACAACAAAGGUACCUGCCACCACUGUGUUCAUCCCAGUCCAAACCACACCGCCUCCCACCACAACUACAGAACCUCCAUCGAGUACCAGCGCAGAGGAGAGUCCUCUACCUUGCAACGUGACUGAGAAGUACUGGGUCAGAACAGUUCUGUCCAUUGAGCUACGUAGGAACCGCCUAGACCUGAUCCUGAAACAGAACCUCUCUAAAGGACUGAGCCACGCCCUGCAGAGAGCUCUGAAUGACUCCACAGCCAACGCACAGGUCAGUGUCUCUUACAGAUUCAACUGUAGUAACUGCAGUUUAGUGGCUAGUUAACAGUUCAGGAGAUUAGUUUAGAAGAACCACCCGUAUGUCUAUUUAUGUGUCAGUGGCUAAUAAACAAAUGACUAGACUUUGUCAGCAACUGAUAAACGGUUGGUAAAUAAUACAAAUUAAUUUCAUUUGCAUCAGUGCAUGUUCCAGCCUUUACUGAACACAUUAAUCAUGCUUCUAGGAAUACUGGUCAGUGACCAAUAACUACACAUCACGGCCUUAUAAAACAUAGUUGUGCUGGUAGUAAACACAGAUCAGUGGCUAGUAAACAUAGAUCAGUGGCUAGUAAACAUAGAUAAGUGGCUAGUAAACACAGAUCAGUGGCUAGUAAACACAAGUCAGUGGUUACUGAACACAAGUCAGUGACUAGUCAAAAAAAGGGCCACAGGCUAUGAAACACAGGUUACUGGCUAGUAGAUAUACAUCACUGGCUAGUAAACAUGGAUCAGUGGCUAGUAAAUCCAUUCUGUGGUGCUCAUAGGCAGAUAAUGUUAUAAUAUUGAGUUGUCUCUUGGGAAGAAUAUGUCUGCUUCAUUACACUGAGUAAAAUUGCUUUUCCAUCUGAUGCUUAUAAGAUAUCUUUACAUUGAAAUUUUUGCCACAGUGUUGGCUCUUCAUAUGGGCAGAUAUCCUACUCUCGAGUGUGUCAUCAUUUCACAAUACUCUACAGUAUUCAUCGUUUUCUCCUCUUGCUCAUUCACCUCACAAGGACUCAUCUGAAUGGUGCUAGAGACAAACAGAGAGGUGACUAAUGCAAACAGCGUUCAAGUCUGAAUAGAAAUAACCUGUUGAAUAGUCAGACAGUGUUUGCUUAGAGGGGUUAUUACACACACACACACACACACACACACACACACACACACACACACACACACACACACACACACACACAAACAUGGUAAUGCAAAAUAAGUCCAGAAUAAAUUAUGCUUUUCUUUUUCCUGCAGUCAAGUGAUCUUCCUACUCUGCUGCUCUGUCUAGAUCGUUUUGUCUCUGUUUUGAGUUGUCCAACCUGUCUUAUGUUCCUUUUCAACCGAGUCUAUUUGUAUUUCUUCUUCAUCUUCUUUCUCUGAAACGUUCACUCUCUCGCCCUCUUCCUGUGUGUUUCUCAAUAUUUACAUUUCUCGUAUUGCUCCCUUCCUCCAUCUCCCCUAUCUGAUUGCUCCCUCGAUUUAAGUCGAUUGAUUUUCUGCCAACCUGUCUGUCUCGCCUGUCUGUUGGUCUGCCUGUUGUGCCUGCCCGCCCCACUGUCUGUCCACCUGCCUCCCUUCAUCUCGCUGUCUGUCUGUCUUCUGUCUUCAUCUGCCUGCUUUUUCUAUUUUUAUCCAGUUGUUUGUGAGCCUGCACAGGGAGUGACUCAGUGUCUCUAAGCUCCAGUCCACUUUCAUCUACCCCCUGCCACACACACACACACACACACACACACACACACACACACACACACACACACACACACACACACACACACCUCACUUCUCAUCCUCUCCAUCAGAUAACAUAGAUUAUUAUUUGGCACUGUGGAUCAGUCUAUUGAGAGACAGCAGCAGCACCAACAAGGAAUAAAACUGGCCAGAGCUUUAAAAGCCAUGACAUGUAGGCCGUGUUUUGAGGCAUUGUUAAUGACCAAAUAUUGGCUUUAGCGGAGAUAGGGAUUGUCAAACAGCAUGAAAUUAGCAUGCAGCAGUAUUUAAUGUUUUGCAUCAUUGAACAAUGUGGUUAACCAUAAUUGCUUGCAAAAUCUGCCAGUUUUACAGCUUUAAAAUGUUGGUAAGGAGAAAGAAGUGACAGCAGAGGGCAAGGGCAGGGUCUGGUUGGCUUUAUUAGGUACAACGCUGCUUUUUAAGUAUGCAAAACAAAGGUGAAAUAAAACCCUUGCAGCUCUGCAGAGUGCAUGAGGAAUUCAAAAUGAGUUACGCAUCAUUCUGACCCCCUGGUUUAGCAUUUUAAAGUGGUACAUGAACAAUUACAAAACACACUAUACCACAUUGUAGUGUAGCUGUAAACAGAUAUAUAAGACAUUUUAGUGUUGACUAUUGAUCGGUUAUGUCAAUCCAUCUAUUUUGUCUUCUGUAACUGUUAUUUACUGUCCA